AUUGAACGCUGGCGGCAGGCUUAACACAUGCAAGUCGAGCGGAGAUGAGGUGCUUGCACCUUAUCUUAGCGGCGGACGGGUGAGUAAUGCUUAGGAAUCUGCCUAUUAGUGGGGGACAACAUUCCGAAAGGAAUGCUAAUACCGCAUACGCCCUACGGGGGAAAGCAGGGGAUCUUCGGACCUUGCGCUAAUAGAUGAGCCUAAGUCGGAUUAGCUAGUUGGUGGGGUAAAGGCCUACCAAGGCGACGAUCUGUAGCGGGUCUGAGAGGAUGAUCCGCCACACUGGGACUGAGACACGGCCCAGACUCCUGCGGGAGGCAGCAGUGGGGAAUAUUGGACAAUGGGCGGAAGCCUGAUCCAGCCAUGCCGCGUGUGUGAAGAAGGCCUUUUGGUUGUAAAGCACUUUAAGCGAGGAGGAGGCUACCUGGAUUAAUACUCUAGGAUAGUGGACGUUACUCGCAGAAUUAGCACCGGCUAACUCUGUGCCAGCAGCCGCCGUAAUAC
rnacentral:rRNA from 1 species